rfam:Aedes aegypti strain Liverpool supercont1.1098 genomic scaffold, whole genome shotgun sequence.
AAAACGGCCCUUUUCAGAGCCACAACAAGGAACCCACGUAAAAGAGU